rnacentral:rRNA from 1 species
AAAAAAAAAGAGGAAUACAUCGGAAUCUACUUUUUCGUGGGGGAUAACGUAUGGAAACUUACGCUAAUACCGCAUACGACCUACGGGUGAAAGCAGGGGAUCUUCGGACCUUUCGCGAUUGAAUGAGCCGAUGUCGGAUUAGCUAGUUGGAGGGGUAAAGGCCCACCAAGGCGACGAUCCGUAGCUGGUCUGAGAGGAUGAUCAGCCACACUGGAACUGAGACACGGUCCAGACUCCAACGGAAGGCAGCAGUGGGGAAUAUUGGACAAUGGGCGCAAACCUGAUCCAGCCAUACCGCGUGGGUGAAGAAGGCCUUUGGUUUUUUUAAUGCUACU